UAUAAGAGCCGCUUUGUGUUGAUCUUUGGGCAAAGCCUGAUCCGGCUUGGCCACGGCGACGAAGCCGGCGAUCGCAAUGGGCAUGCCGCAACCGAUAAGGGGAAGGGCGUGGUGACAGCGAUGGACAAGGGGAAGGGGAAGGUCGUGGUUGAGGAGGAGGAAGAGGACAGUGAUUUCUCGGAUGAUCUGCUCGCCGAGGUCGAUCUCACGAACAUUCUCCCCUCGAGGACGCGCAUGGCAACUGUGAUUGCGAUUAGCUGACAUGAAACGGAAAAGAGGUAACUUUGAUGGAAAAUUCCUGGCUUUGUUCUGACUUUCAGUGUUAACUCUGUCAUUUGGAAUGGGAAUUUAGAUAAAGUUGGGAUUUUUGCCUGAUUGGAUGCAAUGUCGAACAAACACUUGAUAAUCAGAAUGACAAACUGAAAGAGGCCUGCAGGCAAAGGGUUAUGGAAUGGAGGACAACUUUCUCCAAAUACCUCUAAACUCUAACUCUUAAACCCUGAUGAAGGAGGGAUUUGGGCCUAGGUCUUUGUUAUAUGCCCCCACUAGACUUUACUAGCAAGGUAAGCUGGCAGCUUCUUGUUUUGGAGACUGCUGAUUGCAUGUUUUCAGAUGUAACAACUGUCACAUAUCUUCUCCUCAAUUAAUUACUUCUUACCAGUCGGAUAUUGUUGUACAUGGUAUUGCUCUUGUCAAUUAUUUCAUUUCUCAAUUACAAUUUAAUAAAAUCCAUGAGACAUUGUCACUAUGCAGAAGGAAAGAGCAUCUUGGUGCUUGAUCUGAACCGUAUGUUAGAAUGAUAGUCCAUGGCUUGUCAAAAACUCUAGGUUUUUUCUUUUUCUUUUUUAAAUCACCCUCAUUGGUUCCACGUAUUUAUCUUGAUCUAGAUUGUGGACUUGAUCUCUCAAUCUCUCU